UACGGAGGGUGCAAGCGUUGCUCGGAAUUAUUGGGCGUAAAGGGCAGGUAGGUGGUCUCAUUUGUCUGGGGUGAAAUCCUUGGGCUUAACUCAAGAAGUGCCCCAGAAACGGUGAGACUAGAGUACUGGAGAGGGUAGUGGAAUUCCUGGUGUAGUGGUGAAAUGCGUAGAUAUCGGGAGGAACACCAGUGGCGAAGGCGACUACCUGGCCUGUUCUUGACGCUGAGGCGCGAAAGCUAGGGGAGCAAACGGG
rnacentral:rRNA from 1 species